rnacentral:rRNA from 1 species
AGACGAAGGUGGCAACCGUUGUUCGGAAUCACUGGGCAUAAAGCGCACGUAGGCGGGAAAGCAAGUCGGGUGUGAAAUCCCUCGGCCCAACCGAGGAACUGCGCCCGAAACUGCUUUUCUUGAGGACAGAAGGGGAGCAUGGAAUUCCUGGUGGAGCGGUGAAAUGCGUUGAUAUCAGGAGGAACACCGGCGGCGAAGGCGAUGCUCUGGUCUGUUUCUGACGCUAAGGUGCGAAAGCCAGGGGAGCAAACGGGAUUAGAUACCCCAGUAGUCC